AGAGUUUGAUCCUGGCUCAGGACGAACGCUGGCGGCGUGCCUAACACAUGCAAGUCAACGAGAAAGGGGUAGCAAUAUCCCGAGUACAGUGGCGCACGGGUGAGUAACGCGUAGGUAAUCUGCCUUCAGGACGGGGACAACUCCGAGAAAUCGGGGCUAAUACCCGAUGAUGCAGCGGGAUCGCAUGGUCCUGUUGUUAACGGCCCGCAAGGGUGCCCGAAGAUGAACCUGCGUCCCAUUAGGUAGUUGGUGAGGUAACGGCUCACCAAGCCUGCGAUGGGUAGCUGGUCUGAGAGGAUGAUCAGCCACACUGGAACUGAGACACGGUCCAGACUCCUACGGGAGGCAGCAGUGAGGAAUAUUGCGCAAUGGCCGAAAGGCUGACGCAGCGACGCCGCGUGAAGGAUGAAGUCCGUUAGGACGUAAACUUCUUUUGCAGGGGAUGAAUGUCCCGAAUUCAUUCGGGAUUGACCGUACCCUGCGAAUAAGGAUCGGCCAACUACGUGCCAGCAGCCGCGGUAAUACGUAGGAUCCGAGCGUUGUCCGGAAUUACUGGGUGUAAAGGGCGUGUAGGUGGGUCUCUAAGUCGGUGGUGAAAUCUUGCAGCUCAACUGUAAAAUUGCCAUCGAUACUGGAGGUCUUGAGUACGGCAGAGGGAAAUGGAAUUCAUGGUGUAGCGGUGAAAUGUGUAGAUAUCAUGAAGAACACCAGUAGCGAAGGCGGUUUCCUGGUCCGUAACUGACACUGAGGCGCGAA
rnacentral:rRNA from 1 species